UUUGGAUUCCUUACAGUAGCC
rnacentral:miRNA from 1 species